rnacentral:rRNA from 1 species
GAGAGGAACUUGUUCCUCGAGUCGUUGAUUUCACACUGCCGAGAAAAGCCUCUAGCUAGAAUAACGGUGCCCGUACCGCAAACCGACACAGGUAGUCAAGAUGAGAAUUCUAAGGUGAGCGAGCGAACUCUCGUUAAGGAACUCGGCAAAAUGACCCCGUAACUUCGGGAGAAGGGGUGCUCUUUGAGGUUCACGCUUCGAAGAGCCGCAGUGAAUAGGCCCAAGCGACUGUUUAUCAAAAACACAGGUCUCUGCUAAACCGUAAGGUGACGUAUAGGGGCUGACGCCUGCCCGGUGCUGGAAGGUUAAGAGGAGUGGUUAGCGCAAGCGAAGCUACGAAUCGAAGCCCCAGUAAACGGCGGCCGUAACUAUAACGGUCCUAAGGUAGCGAAAUUCCUUGUCGGGUAAGUUCCGACCCGCACGAAAGGCGUAACGAUUUGGGCACUGUCUCAACGAGAGACUCGGUGAAAUCAUAGUACCGGUGAAGAUGCCGGUUACCCGCGACAGGACGGAAAGACCCCGUGGAGCUUUACUGUAGCCUGAUAUUGAAAUUCGGUACAGUUUGUACAGGAUAGGUAGGAGCCUUAGAAGCGUGAGCGCUAGCUUACGUGGAGGCAUUGGUGGGAUACUACCCUAAUUGUAUUGGAUUUCUAACCCGCAGCACUUAUCGUGCUGGGAGACAGUGUCAGGCGGGCAGUUUGACUGGGGCGGUCGCCUCCUAAAGAGUAACGGAGGCGCUCAAAGGUUCCCUCAGAAUGGUUGGAAAUCAUUCAUAGAGUGUAAAGGCAUAAGGGAGCUUGACUGCGAGACCUACAAGUCGAGCAGGGUCGAAAGACGGACUUAGUGAUCCGGUGGUUCCGCAUGGAAGGGCCAUCGCUCAACGGAUAAAAGCUACCCCGGGGAUAACAGGCUUAUCUCCCCCAAGAGUUCACAUCGACGGGGAGGUUUGGCACCUCGAUGUCGGCUCAUCGCAUCCUGGGGCUGUAGUCGGUCCCAAGGGUUGGGCUGUUCGCCCAUUAAAGCGGUACGCGAGCUGGGUUCAGAACGUCGUGAGACAGUUCGGUCCCUAUCCGUCGUGGGCGUAGGAAAUUUGAGAGGAGCUGUCCUUAGUACGAGAGGACCGGGAUGGACAUACCUCUGGUGUACCAGUUGUCGUGCCAACGGCAUAGCUGGGUAGCUAUGUAUGGACGGGAUAAGUGCUGAAAGCAUCUAAGCAUGAAGCCCCCCUCGAGAUGAGAUUUCCCAACUUCGGUUAUAAGAUCCCUCAAAGAUGAUGAGGUGAAUAGGUUCGAGGUGGAAGCGUAGCGAUACGUGGAGCUGACGAAUACUAAUCGAUCGAAGACUU